UACGGGGGGGGCAAGCGUUGUUCGGAAUUACUGGGCGUAAAGGGCUCGUAGGCGGCCAACUAAGUCAGACGUGAAAUCCCUCAGCUUAACUGGGGAACUGCGUCUGAUACUGGAUGGCUUGGAUUCGGGAGAGGAAUGAGGAAUUCCAGGUGUAGCGGUGAAAUGCGUAGAUAUCUGGAGGAACACCGGUGGCGAAGGCGGCAUUCUGGACCGACAUUGACGCUGAGGAGCGAAAGCCAGGGGAGCAAACGGG
rnacentral:rRNA from 1 species